rnacentral:tRNA from 1 species
GCGGGAGUAGCUAAGCCUGGCCAACGGCGCAGGACUUAAGAUCCUGCAUCCAAGGAUAGGAGAUUCUGUCUCAUAGGAGUCCGGGGGUUCAAAUCCCCUCUCCCGCA